rnacentral:rRNA from 1 species
CGCUGACGAGCGGCGGACGGGUGAGUAACGCGUAGGAAUCUACCCAGUAGCGGGGGAUAGCUCGGGGAAACUCGAAUUAAUACCGCAUACGCCCUAAGGGGGAAAGCAGGGGAUCUUCGGACCUUGCACUAUUGGAGGAGCCUGCGUAGGAUUAGCUAGUUGGUGAGGUAAAGGCUCACCAAGGCGACGAUCCUUAGCUGGUCUGAGAGGACGAUCAGCCACACUGGGACUGAGACACGGCCCAAACUCC